rnacentral:tRNA from 1 species
GGAGAAGUACUCAAGUGGCCGAAGAGGCGCCCCUGCUAAGGGUGUAGAUCGCGAGAGCGAUGCGGGGGUUCAAAUCCCCCCUUCUCCG